GGGCCGGUAUUCCGUAGAAGGUAGCGGACCUGACUGUAAAUCAGGUGCUUAAUUGCUCGGCUGGUUCGAUCCCAGCUCGGCCCACCA
rnacentral:tRNA from 1 species